AUUGAACGCUGGCGGCAUGCCUUACACAUGCAAGUCGAACGGCAGCACGGGUGCUUGCACCUGGUGGCGAGUGGCGAACGGGUGAGUAAUACAUCGGAACGUACCUUAUCGCGGGGGAUAACGCAGCGAAAGCUGUGCUAAUACCGCAUACGCCCUGAGGGGGAAAGCGGGGGAUCGCAAGACCUCGCGCGAUUAGAGCGGCCGAUGCCUGAUUAGCUUGUUGGUGGGGUAAAAGCCCACCAAGGCGACGAUCAGUAGCUGGUCUGAGAGGACGAUCAGCCCCACUGGGACUGAGACACGGCCCAGACUCCUGCGGGAGGCAGCAGUGGGGAAUUUUGGACAAUGGGGGCAACCCUGAUCCAGCAAUGCCGCGUGAGUGAAGAAGGCCUUCGGGUUGUAAAGCUCUUUUGUCAGGGAAGAAACACCGGCUCUAACACAGUCCGGGAAUGACGGUACCUGAAGAAUAAGCACCGGCUAACUACGUGCCAGCAGCCGCAGUAA
rnacentral:rRNA from 1 species